UACGGGGGGGGCAAGCGUUGUUCGGAAUUACUGGGCUUAAAGGGUGCGUAGGCGGCGCGGAAAGUAGGGUGUGAAAUCCCUCGGCUCAACCGAGGAACUGCGCCCUAAACUACCGUGCUUGAGGGAGAUAGAGGUGAGCGGAACUUAGGGUGGAGCGGUGAAAUGCGUUGAUAUCCUAAGGAACACCGGUGGCGAAAGCGGCUCACUGGAUCUCUUCUGACGCUGAGGCACGAAAGCUAGGGUAGCGAACGGG
rnacentral:rRNA from 1 species